CAAAUAACCCAGGAUUACACAACAGGCAUUAAUAAUAGACAGCCGUUCACCAAGUGGGAGUGGGGAUCCGUAAACAGCAUUGACCAAACUGUUCUGAAAAGUGACUCUUAUAGUCCGACAUUAUUGUGGUUUUAUUUAGAAAAGUGAUCUACAAAGAGACGUAAAACAUUGCAUGAUACCACCAGACACCCAAUGGAGGCACAGCUCCU